GACGAACGCUGGCGGCGUGCCUAAUACAUGCAAGUCGAACGAACCGCGACUAAGUGCUUGCACUAAGUCAAGGUGAGUGGCGAACGGGUGAGUAACACGUGGGUAACCUACCUCAUAGUGGGGGAUAACAGUCGGAAACGACUGCUAAUACCGCAUAGGACAUAGGAUCACAUGAUCCAGUGAGGAAAGGUGGCGCAAGCUAUCGCUACGAGAUGGACCCGCGGUGCAUUAGCUAGUUGGGAGGGUAAAGGCCUACCAAGGCGAUGAUGCAUAGCCGACCUGAGAGGGUGAUCGGCCACAUUGGGACUGAGACACGGCCCAAACUCCUACGGGAGGCAGCAGUAGGGAAUCUUCCGCAAUGGACGCAAGUCUGACGGAGCAACGCCGCGUGAGUGAAGAGGGUCUUCGGAUCGUAAAGCUCUGUUGUUAGAGAAGAACAGCGCAUAGAGUAACUGCUAUGCGUGUGACGGUAUCUAAACAGAAAGCCACGGCUAACUACGUG
rnacentral:rRNA from 1 species